GGAGGGGUUCCCGAGCGGUCAAUGGGGAAGGGCUGUAAACCCUUUGCGUAAUCGCUUCGGAGGUUCGAAUCCUCCCCCCUCCACCA
rnacentral:tRNA from 1 species